GUCCCUUUGCUUGUUGGGGCUGCGGCAGAGGUGGUCUUUGUGAGGGAGCAUCUGGUGCUGGCAUCACGGUCCAGUGAGAGCCAGCCGAGGGCCGCAUUAGGAUGAAUGACUGCUUCCUUUCACGCAGCGGGCGAUUUGCAGGAUCUGGAGUUCUGAUGCCACUCUCCAUCUCUGAAGGUCAGGAUCAGAAGAAGUACAAGCCUGUGGGGAUGGCUAUGGAGACCAGGCUCCACUCCAGCCACUGGAGAGACAGGGUGAUUGUGGCUUACCUUUGGCAGGGGUCCCUGGCCACCAUUAUGCCUCCCUGAGUGCUCCAAGGCUUUUUCAUGCCAUUCAGCAAAGAACCCCGUCGGCUGCACACACUAGACACAGCCCGUUCCCCUGUUACCUGCCAGCGCCUCAAGAUUGAUUUAUGCCAGAGAAGUUCUGGGUUGGAGAACUCCCGAAAAGAGCAAGGAUCAAAGCCAUCUAGAUUAAAGGGCUGAUUUGGGAUAAAUGUUAAAAGGCAUAAUGUGAACGCCACGGUUAUUACAAACAAGAAAUCCCGGUCUUACCUUCUGUUCUAUCUUGGACCAGUGAUUUCACUUCCUUUAAAAACAACAACAAAAAGAGCAAAUGUAAUUGAGAGAAGUAAAUUGUUACUUUGGCAAUUAA